UAAGGAAUAUUGGUCAAUGGAGGCAACUCUGAACCAGCCAUGCCGCGUGCAGGACGACUGCCCUACGGGUUGUAAACUGCUUUUAUACGGGAAUAACCCCCACUACGUGUAGUGGGCUGAAUGUACCGUAAGAAUAAGGAUCGGCUAACUCCGUGCCAGCAGCCGCGGUAAUACGGAGGAUCCAAGCGUUAUCCGGAUUUAUUGGGUUUAAAGGGUGCGUAGGCGGCCUAUCAAGUCAGAGGUGAAAGACGGUAGCUUAACUAUCGCAGUGCCUUUGAAACUGGUGGGCUUGAAUGUACUUGAGGUGGGCGGAAUGUGACAAGUAGCGGUGAAAUGCAUAGAUAUGUCACAGAACCCCGAUUGCGAAGGCAGCUCACUAAGGUAUGAUUGACGCUGAUGCACGAAAGCGUGGGGAUCAAACAGG
rnacentral:rRNA from 1 species